AUAGCAUAUAACUCUGAUCUGAUCUGAAGGACAUUAUUAUACUGGAUAUACGUGUUAUACGUCUUGUUCGAACGUGACGAUAUAGAAGUAAGAAGAAAACAUUUACAAUUUUGAGAAUCGGUGGGCAGGCAAAUAAGGUCGGGGUUGAAGAUCAUAUAGCUGUCACUCUCUUUCAAGAAUCCAAACGGUUAUGGAAUAUAAUAACAACUGCCCAGAGAUGACCGGUCAGGAGAUACUCGAGCUGUUUAUCGAGAGCGGGCUUCAUGCUGUAGGGAGUAACAAAGUUCAGUGGAGGGAUACUGCAGUAUGUGUUGGCAUCGUAAGUCUGGAAGGUGGAGCGAAAACAGUCUUUAUCAACCGAAGCAGUACCCGACAUCACGCUGAAGAUGGCCUAAUCAGAUUCUUUGAAGAGAACCAGAGAAGAAUAAGUUCCGUGAAGAUUUUGAGUAAAUAUUCACCCUGCAGCAAUCCGGGUUUUGACUGCUGUGGCAGAUUGCGCGAGAUGAAGAAAAAACUUAACAAAGGUAAUGGUAAAGAAAUGAGUUUCGAGUUGGUGUUUUCCGCUCUCUACAAAAUUAACAGACCGUCCUGUUUGCAACGAGGUUGCUUCAAGGGCAGUGCAAGCGGGCAUAACCCAUCCGAAGAGGGCCGCGAAAAUAUAGAAAAUCUCGUGUCACUAGGUUUGAGCGUCAGAACCUUCGAGACUGGAGACUGGGCCGAGUUGAUAGAGCUCUUAGCUCUAUGGGAUGCUUCAAAAGGCAUGUCGGGGACCGGUCUCUCUGCAAUCCGCUAUGGAGACAAAUACGGCCGGUGGCGCGACUUUGAGGACGCAGAACUCAAAAGAGAUUUCGAAAUCUUGAAGCAACGUCUUGAAGGUGAAGUGAGAGUUAGGAUGAAUUCCCUGCGCAAAAUUGAUGUCACGAUUUUGGAAAAAGAAGUUUGUAAAAUCAAGGAAGCCUUAGCACAAUGGAAAUAGUAUGGUAUUAUCAUCAUAGUUGAAAUAUACGCCUAUGCAGAGGGCACCGCACACCUAACGACCGGUCCACUGACGAUCUGAUUUAUUUUGAAACAAAUCGCAUUUUGCUCACUUUCUGAAAAUGUGAAUGAAACGCAUAUUGUAAAAAAAUAGUUGAAAAAUAGUUAUAAAACAAUUUUGCAUGAUUUGCAAGCCUUUAUUUUGGAGUAAAGGCCAAAUAAGUUUCAAAUCGUAUAGCCAAUCGUACAAUUGCUAAGACGUCAUUACAACUAGGCCUAGAUAUUACAUUUACUUUUAUUAUAAUAUAAUAAGGAUUAUAUAUAGUCACAGAUUCGAACUAUUCGUACGAUGAUUUAGAACAUUACAUAAUGAGACAUUCCAUGCCUUAAUGUUGGCAUCUAAUUCUACUACAUCAAAUCAGGUCACAGACCAAUCGCAAAGGGGCUCUCACAAUUACUCGUGCAAUCGUUUGCGAUCAUUUGGUCACAAUAUAUGUUGCACACAAUCGCAAAGGUUGUAAGCAGUCGCAUCACGACUUGUGAAAGGGGCUUAAGGCGUGUGGUAGCCUUAAGAUAUUGUAGUUUUCUACUGGUAUAACAGUAUAUAAGGCAAAUAUAAUCGUAAUAUUUCAA